AACACUGAGGCGUGACGACGAGGCACUACGGUGCUGAAGCAACAAAUGCCCUGCUUCCAGGAAAAGCCUCUAAGCAUCAGGUAACAUCAAAUCGUACCCCAAACCGACACAGGUGGUCAGGUAGAGAAUACCAAGGCGCUUGAGAGAACUCGGGUGAAGGAACUAGGCAAAAUGGUGCCGUAACUUCGGGAGAAGGCACGCUGACACGUAGGUGAAGUGAUUUACUCAUGGAGCUGAAGUCAGUCGAAGAUACCAGCUGGCUGCAACUGUUUAUUAAAAACACAGCACUGUGCAAACACGAAAGUGGACGUAUACGGUGUGACGCCUGCCCGGUGCCGGAAGGUUAAUUGAUGGGGUCAGCGCAAGCGAAGCUCCUGAUCGAAGCCCCGGUAAACGGCGGCCGUAACUAUAACGGUCCUAAGGUAGCGAAAUUCCUUGUCGGGUAAGUUCCGACCUGCACGAAUGGCGUAAUGAUGGCCAGGCUGUCUCCACCCGAGACUCAGUGAAAUUGAACUCGCUGUGAAGAUGCAGUGUACCCGCGGCAAGACGGAAAGACCCCGUGAACCUUUACUAUAGCUUGACACUGAACAUUGAGCCUUGAUGUGUAGGAUAGGUGGGAGGCUUUGAAGUGUGGACGCCAGUCUGCAUGGAGCCGACCUUGAAAUACCACCCUUUAAUGUUUGAUGUUCUAACGUGGACCCGUUACCCGGGUUGCGGACAGUGUCUGGUGGGUAGUUUGACUGGGGCGGUCUCCUCCUAAAGAGUAACGGAGGAGCACGAAGGUUGGCUAAUCCUGGUCGGACAUCAGGAGGUUAGUGCAAUGGCAUAAGCCAGCUUGACUGCGAGCGUGACGGCGCGAGCAGGUGCGAAAGCAGGUCAUAGUGAUCCGGUGGUUCUGAAUGGAAGGGCCAUCGCUCAACGGAUAAAAGGUACUCCGGGGAUAACAGGCUGAUACCGCCCAAGAGUUCAUAUCGACGGCGGUGUUUGGCACCUCGAUGUCGGCUCAUCACAUCCUGGGGCUGAAGUAGGUCCCAAGGGUAUGGCUGUUCGCCAUUUAAAGUGGUACGCGAGCUGGGUUUAGAACGUCGUGAGACAGUUCGGUCCCUAUCUGCCGUGGGCGCUGGAGAACUGAGGGGGGCUGCUCCUAGUACGAGAGGACCGGAGUGGACGCAUCACUGGUGUUCGGGUUGUCAUGCCAAUGGCACUGCCCGGUAGCUAAAUGCGGAAGAGAUAAGUGCUGAAAGCAUCUAAGCACGAAACUUGCCCCGAGAUGAGUUCUCCCUGAGACUUAAAGUCUCCUGAAGGAACGUUGAAGACGACGACGUUG
rnacentral:rRNA from 1 species